UUUUGAGUGUAAGUAUAUCCUGUGUAAUAUUUGGGAUAUACUUAUACUAAAA
rfam:Camelus ferus unplaced genomic scaffold scaffold1577, whole genome shotgun sequence.